rnacentral:rRNA from 1 species
GACGAACGCUGGCGGCGUGCCUAAUACAUGCAAGUCGAGCGGGAAUUUUAUUGGUGCUUGCACCUUUGAAAUUUUAGCGGCGGACGGGUGAGUAACACGUGGGUAACCUACCUUAUAGAUUGGGAUAACUCCGGGAAACCGGGGCUAAUACCGAAUAAUACUUUUUAACACAUGUUUGAAAGUUGAAAGACGGUUUCGGCUGUCACUAUAAGAUGGAUACGCGGCGCAUUAGCUAGUUGGUGAGGUAACGGCUCACCAAGGCAACGAUGCGUAGCCGACCUGAGAGGGUGAUCGGCCACACUGGGACUGAGACACGGCCCAGACUCCUACGGGAGGCAGCAGUAGGGAAUCUUCCACAAUGGACGAAAGUCUGAUGGAGCAACGCCGCGUGAGUGAAGAAGGAUUUCGGUUCGUAAAACUCUGUUGCAAGGGAAGAACAAGUAGCGUAGUAACUGGCGCUACCUUGACGGUACCUUGUUAGAAAGCCACGGCUAACUACGUGCCAGCAGCCGCCGUAACAC